CACUCCUGCGGGAGGCAGCAGUGGGGAAUAUUGCACAAUGGGCGCAAGCCUGAUGCAGCCAUGCCGCGUGUAUGAAGAAGGCCUUCGGGUUGUAAAGUACUUUCAGCGGGGAGGAAGGCGAUAAGGUUAAUAACCUUGUUGAUUGACGUUACCCGCAGAAGAAGCACCGGCUAACUCCGUGCCAGCAGCCGCGGUAAUACGGAGGGUGCAAGCGUUAAUCGGAAUUACUGGGCGUAAAGCACACGCAGGCGGUCUGUCAAGUCGGAUGUGAAAUCCCCGGGCUCAACCUGGGAACUGCAUUCGAAACUGGCAGGCUAGAGUCUUGUAGAGGGGGGUAGAAUUCCAGGUGUAGCGGUGAAAUGCGUAGAGAUCUGGAGGAAUACCGGUGGCGAAGGCGGCCCCCUGGACAAAGACUGACGCUCAGGUGCGAAAGCGUGGGGAGCAAACAGGAUUAGAUACCCUAGUAGUCCCAUGA
rnacentral:rRNA from 1 species